GGAAUCUUCCGCAAUGGCCGAAAGUCUGACGGAGCAACGCCGCGUGAGCGAUGAAGGCCUUCGGGUCGUAAAGCUCUGUUGUCAGGGAAGAACAAGUACCGGAGUAACUGCCGGUACUUUGACGGUACCUGACCAGAAAGCCACGGCUAACUACGUGCCAGCAGCCGCGGUAAUACGGAGGGUGCAAGCGUUGUCCGGAAUUAUUGGGCGUAAAGCGCACGUAGGCGGUUCUUUAAGUCUCUUGGUGAAAGGCUGGGGCUCAACCCCAUGCAUGCCGGGGAUACUGGGGAACUGGAGACAGGUAGAGGCCAGCGGAAUUCCGGGUGUAGCGGUGGAAUGCGUAGAGAUCCGGAAGAACACCGGAGGCGAAGGCGGCUGGCUGGACCUGAUCUGACGCUGAGGUGCGAAAGCGUGGGGAGC
rnacentral:rRNA from 1 species